GACGUAGGGGGCCAGCGUUGUUCGGAAUUACUGGGCGUAAAGGGCUCGUAGGCGGUGCGGCAAGUUGGGGGUGAAAUCUCUGGGCUUAACCCAGAGGCUGCUUCCAAAACUGCUGUGCUUGAGUGUGGGAGAGGCGCGUGGAAUUGCAGGUGUAGCGGUGAAAUGCGUAGAUAUCUGCAGGAACACCCGUGGCGAAAGCGGCGCGCUGGACCACUACUGACGCUGAGGAACGAAAGCUAGGGGAGCAAACAGG
rnacentral:rRNA from 1 species